rnacentral:lncRNA from 1 species
GGGCUGCAAAUUCGGUUGUGAUGGAGACCGUGUCCCUGGAGCACCAGAUCCAGAGUGUGCAGAGGCACAUCGCUUUCCUGAAGAAGGAGCAGAUGGAGCUGCUCCAUGGCCUGCACCUGGAGAUCCUCCGCCUGCAGAAGCACUGCUCAGAGCUGACCCACGACCUUGAGAUGAAGGAGCUGGAGGCCCGCCAGCAAGGGGCACUGGAGACCCCUGGGGAGUGACUCAAAGCUAGCAGAC